UACGUAGGAUCCAAGCGUUGUCCGGAUUUACUGGGUGUAAAGGGUGCGUAGGCGGCCGGGUAAGUCUGAUGUGAAAUCUCACAGCUUAACUGUGAAACUGCAUUGGAUACUAUCCGGCUCGAGGAAUGGAGGGGAGACUGGAAUACUUGGUGUAGCAGUGAAAUGCGUAGAUAUCAAGUGGAACACCAGUGGCGAAGGCGAGUCUCUGGACAUUUCCUGACGCUGAGGCACGAAAGCCAGGGGAGCAAACGGG
rnacentral:rRNA from 1 species